GGCCUGGUGGCCUAAUGGCUAAGGCGUUGCUUUCCGGUGGCAAAGAUUCUGGGUUCGAGUCCCAGCUGGGUCG